rnacentral:lncRNA from 1 species
UUCCCUUAGCAGGGACCCCUAGAAGAUCCUCUUUCUCUCUCUCUGUGAUCUUCUCCGCCCCCAAUAAAGGCAUUUUAUUGUUUUAUUAUUUUCUGCACAGCAGGCCAAAAUCUACCAGUAGUUUCUCCAGUAAUCAAACCUGCAAUGAAAAUCUCUCCUACUAAUAGAACCAUACAUUAAUAGCACUUUGCACCAGGGAUGCUGGUUUCCAGUGAUGGGAGAAAUGGCGCUGCAAGGAAAGCGGCGUGAAGAGUCUAGGGCAAAAGUUAGCACCCAGGCAACUUAGAAGGGAAAAGAAAAGGUAAAGCAACCAACUGUAUAUGCAGACUGUGGAGAUCAGUAGGGGAAAAUUUAAUCCUUUGCCCGGGCACCUUAAAAGGAGGUGAAGAGGAAGUUGUGUUUGAAUUUGAUCGUCAACAGAGGCGGACAUUUCCCAGGUGCUGGCCAGCAAAGACCUGACCUGCUGAUCACAGUGAAUUCUUUCCUUAUCCUGAGCUUGUCCUCCAUGCUGUCUAUUACGACCACAGAUUCAAGUUCAAAAGUGGUGCUUGUCUUCCUUGGCUUUUCUGUGACGGAUGGUCCCACGCACAGGACCUGUCAACAGCAAUGCCUCUCACUUUUCCAAGUAGCAUCACCACUGAAGCAAGACAGUGGAAAGAGAAGAGGAAAAAACCACCUCAGCCCACUUAAGAUCAUGCACUUGAUAAAACUGUUUUCUUAGCCAG